rnacentral:rRNA from 1 species
UACGGAGGGGGCUAGCGUUGUUCGGAAUUACUGGGCGUAAAGCGCGCGUAGGCGGAUCUGCAAGUCGGGGGUGAAAUCCCGAGGCUCAACCUCGGAACUGCCUUCGAUACUGCGGGUCUCGAGUCCGGGAGAGGUGAGUGGAAUUCCUAGUGUAGAGGUGAAAUUCGUAGAUAUUAGGAAGAAACACCAGUGGCGAAGGCGGCUCACUGGCCCGGUACUGACGCUGAGG